AAAUAUGAAUCAUUUAUAAAUGAUGAAUUUAAUUUCGACUUAAAUCAAGAGAUUAAAUUUCUCCAUAUUUA
rnacentral:tRNA from 1 species